AGUUAACGUUGGCGGCGUGCCUAACACAUGCAAGUCGAACGCGUCCUAAGGGCAACUUUAGGAUGAGUGGCGAACGGGUGAGUAUCACGUGGGUAAUCUUCCUUUAAGUGGGGAAUAAGCUCUCGAAAGGGAGUCUAAUACCGCAUGACAUUCCGGGACACAAGUCCCGUAAUCAAAGCCGCAAGGCGCUUGAAGAUGAGCCUGCGUCCUAUUAGCUAGUUGGUGGGGUAACGGCCUACCAAGGCUCAGAUGGGUAGCCGGCCUGAGAGGGUGAACGGCCACACUGGGACUGAGACACGGCCCAGACUCCUACGGGAGGCAGCAGUGAGGAAUUUUGCGCAAUGGGGGAAACCCUGACGCAGCGACGCCGCGUGGAGGAUGAAGGCCUUCGGGUCGUAAACUCCUGUCAGAGGUGAAGAAUGCCCGCAAGGGUUUGACGGUAACCUCAGAGGAAGCCCCGGCUAACUACGUGCCAGCAGCCGCGGUAAAACGUGUGUGUA
rnacentral:rRNA from 1 species